AUUGAACGCUGGCGGCAGGCCUAACACAUGCAAGUCGAACGGUAACAGGAAGCAGCUUGCUGCUUUGCUGACGAGUGGCGGACGGGUGAGUAAUGUCUGGGAAACUGCCUGAUGGAGGGGGAUAACUACUGGAAACGGUAGCUAAUACCGCAUAACGUCGCAAGACCAAAGAGGGGGACCUUCGGGCCUCUUGCCAUCGGAUGUGCCCAGAUGGGAUUAGCUAGUAGGUGGGAUAACGGCUCACCUAGGCGACGAUCCCUAACUGGUCUGAGAGGAUGACCAGCCACACUGGAACUGAGACACGGUCCAGACUCCUACGGGAGGCAGCAGUGGGGAAUAUUGCACAAUGGGCGCAAGCCUGAUGCAGCCAUGCCGCGUGUAUGAAGAAGGCCUUCGGGUUGUAAAGUACUUUCAGCGGGGAGGAAGGGAGUAAAGUUAAUACCUUUGCUCAUUGACGUUACCCGCAGAAGAAGCACCGGCUAACUCCGUG
rnacentral:rRNA from 1 species